rnacentral:rRNA from 1 species
AUGCGAUAAGUAAUGUGAAUUGCAGAAUUCAGUGAAUCAUCGAAUCUUUGAACGCACCUUGCGCCCUUUGGUAUUCCGAAGGGCACGCCCGUUUGAGUGUCAUUGUAAUCUCACUUCAACAUCUUUUUGUUGAAUGUGGACUUGGAUGUUGUUGUGUUAACGACUCGUCUCAAAUGCCUGAGUGUACCCUGCUUUGCAGCGUAUCAGUGUGAUAAACAUCUUCACUGUUAAGUCUUCGGACACGCUUUGUAUUGUGGGCUCUAUGCUUCAAACUGUCCUCGGACAAUCUCUGACAAUUUGACCUCAAAUCGGGCGGGACUACCCGCUGAACUUAA